CGUAGGUGGCAAGCGUUGUCCGGAAUUAUUGGGCGUAAAGCGCGCGCAGGCGGUCCUUUAAGUCUGAUGUGAAAGCCCACGGCUCAACCGUGGAGGGUCAUUGGAAACUGGGGGACUUGAGUGCAGGAGAGAAGAGUGGAAUUCCACGUGUAGCGGUGAAAUGCGUAGAGAUGUGGAGGAACACCAGUGGCGAAGGCGACUCUUUGGCCUGUAACUGACGCUGAGGCGCGAAAGCGUGGGGAGCAAACAGGGAUUAGAUACCCUGGUAGUCCACGCCGUAAACGAUGAGUGCUAAGUGUUAGAGGGUUUCCGCCCUUUAGUGCUGCAGUAAACGCAUUAAGCACUCCGCCUGGGGAUACGGCCGCAAGGCUG
rnacentral:rRNA from 1 species